rnacentral:rRNA from 1 species
CUAGAGAUAGUGCCCCUCUUCGGAGCACCCAAGACAGGUGGUGCAUGGUUGUCGUCAGCUCGUGUCGUGAGAUGUUGGGUUAAGUCCCGCAACGAGCGCAACCCUUGAUCUUAGUUGCCAGCAUUUCGGAUGGGCACUCUAAGAUGACUGCCGGUGACAAACCGGAGGAAGGUGGGGAUGACGUCAAAUCAUCAUGCCCCUUAUGACCUGGGCUACACACGUACUACAAUGGUCGGUACAACGGGGAGCGAAGCCGCGAGGUGGAGCCAAUCCUUAUAAGCCGAUCUCAGUUCGGAUUGCAGGCUGCAACUCGCCUGCAUGAAGUCGGAAUUGCUAGUAAUCGCGGAUCAGCAUGCCGCGGUGAAUACGUUCCCGGGUCUUGUACACACCGCCCGUCACACCACGAGAGUUUACAACACCCGAAGUCGGUGGGGUAACCCGCAAGGGAGCCAGCCGCCGAAGGUGGGGUAGAUGAUUGGGGUGAAGUCGUAACAAGGUAGCCGUAUCGGAAGGUGCGGCUGGAUCACCUCCUUU